CGGGCACUUGAGGGAGGAAGCAGCAGAGGGAGGUGUGUGGAUGUGUGUGUGUGCGUGACUGGGGUGUGAGCGUGCCCACUGUGGGUGUGCCCGUGUGUGUGGCUGUGAGGCGUGAGUGCAGGCGUGAAGUGUCUGGGAGUGGGAGCGGGCAUGAGUGUGUGCCACGGGCCUGCUGUUGGGUCCUUGGAGGCCACGGUUGCCCCUGAAGGGACUGCAAGCUCUUUUUUGAUUUGUAGUUAUUUGAGAAGUCUAUACAGGAAGAAAAUUAAACCGCAUUUACUAAAUACAAUAAAAUUACAGGAAGACAGAAUUGUCCCCAAAUUACAAACAUGUGGCCCGAGUUGCUCCACGACAGCUCAGCCCCAGACCAUGCAGUGGAGAUGGCAGCCCCGAGCCCCGGGCCCAUCUCCUGCUCCCCACUGAGGUGACACAGGACCCCUGUAAGGCAGGACCCCAGAGCCCCGCACAGGAGGGGGGGCUGUGUGGGGGGAGGGACCCCUGCCUGCUGUCCCUGCCCAGCCUGCGGUCCCGCCCCCACCAGGCAGCGGACCCUGGACUGCUCAUGAUCACGGCCUCACCUGGAAAGCUGCUAUGGGCUGGUCUGAGCCUCUUCCCUCUUUCCGGGAAAUCUGAGGCCCACCAGCAGCGGGCAGCAGGUCAUGGGUAUGGUCGCGGACUUGGAGGCCCAGGAAGGCCACCAAGGAGCAGGAAGGGCCGUGUCCUGGGAUCAGAGUCUAGGCCAGAGACCCUUCCCAAGGCUGUCACCCAGGAGGGAGAUGAUGGGAAGUGACAGUGGGGCCCAGGCUGGAAGUGAGAGGGGCCGGGCCUGUGGCGGAGUAAGAGCUGGCUUGGAGUGGGCAGAGGCCAAGGCAGCCGGGUGGGCACCAGACUUGGGAGAUGCUCGGCCUCGCACCGAGAAAGGGGGGGCGCUGGGGCCAAGUGCCCACUGCCCGGAGAGCAGGGCUGGGUCCUCAAGGGCCCCCUGCUUUUGGAUGUUGUGCAGCCACUGAAGCUGAAGCCCAGUCGCCCCGGCUCCACGGUCCAGACUCCCAGCAGGUGGCCACCCCUGACCACCUACUCUGAAAUCCAGGCACAUCCUGGCACCACCCGGCCAAGAGCCCACAUGGCCCCGGGGCAUUCAUCUCACUGGGCAGGGGCAGCCUCCGACCUCAUCCCAGCUCAGUAGGUGCUCGCGGUGCCCUCCUAAACGCCAGCCAUGAGCUUGAGCGAACGCCAGUGUGUCGUGAGGCUGAGCACAGCCUGGCCCCUCCACUCCGGCUCCUGGUGGCUGUCUGCUGUGUCCCCUAUCGGGGAAGAGGUUUCUCUUUGGCCCAAGCCCACCUGCCCCUGCCUGAGGGAGCCCUCAGCCACUACGCUCAGCCCGUCAGAAACCUGAGAGCUCAUGUCCACGACAGGGCCAGCCAGUGGGGAGAGGACCCGGGGCUCCCUUGGAGGCAGGGCACUGCUCGUUCCCGCGGCCGCUCGGCCCCGCCCGCUCCCUCCACCCCGAUUUCCCACAGGGCUUGCAGGCAUCGCCCCAAACAGACUCUGUCACCCAAGCCAUGUGCCUGGGCCUGCCUUUGGGUGUGGAUGGGGGGUGCCUGGCGGGGGGUGCCUGGCGGGGAGUGCUCUGAGUGCAGGAGCGGACACCCAGGCUGCCCGAGGAGGGCAGGGCGUGAGGACUGGGACAGCCGCACCCCUGCUGCUUGGCACGACCCAGUGAAGGAAUGACGUCCGCAAGGGCCACGUGAGCUUGGGGCGGGCGGUGCCGGUGGAGGGAGAGGCAGAGGCUGUCAGCCUCUCCCCACCCCUGCCUCACGUGGCCACGCCCGACGUCACCGUGUCUUUCUUUGUGAGAGCUGAGUCCACCGACCCCACCUUGUUUAGAUUAGGUUGGAAGUCACCUGGGCUGAGCUGAUGGCUGAUUCCGUCAGCAAAAAGAACUGUGGAACAUACUGGCACUUGGGCCGGUGUGAAGCCACCCCCCUGCCAUGAAAAAUGGCUCUUCCCUGCCACAGCCGGCCCAGCGGGAGCCAGGUCAGGGCCUGGAGACACAGCGCCCCCCACCGGAGCCACUGCCCGGCCCAGCAGCACCUGCGGAGAAUCCCACCAGCUCCCACGCCUCCCGCCGCGCCACCGCCCCGGCUUUCUGCAAAUCCACCUUAUGGAAGCCGGAUAAGGUGAAGUCCACAUAUAACUAAAAGCGAGUUACUGAGGGUUACUUUCUUUGCAGAGUGGUUCCCCUAAAGGAUUCCUUUAAACAUGAUCCGGUCAGCCAGUGCUCACUUACGUUCACCAAGUCACGUCGGUUUGUGGCGGCAGGAGCCCAGCGUGCCAGGCACCUGCGGGAGGGGAAGAUGCUGGGUGGGGCCCUGCUUUCGACACUUUGCAUCUUAAGCAGGUGAGCAGACAGGCACACAUUUGCUCACUCAGUUCCUUGGGGUAGCUCUGAUGGGCAGGGAAAACACACCAAGGGCCAAUCGUGUGGCACCGACUCGCCGUCUCUCUAUUGUAUUUUAUAGAAACGGUCUCACAUUCGCCCAGGCUGGAGUGCAGUGGUGCAAGCAUAGCUCAUUGUAGCCUUGAACUCCUGGGUUCAAGCCAUCCUCCCACCUUAGCCUCCCAAAGCGCUGGGAUUACAGGCAUGAGCCAACACACCUGGCCGGCACCAACUCUCAGCCACGCUGUCGCAGACAGCGGGGCCCCUGCUUGCUGCUGGAUGUCACCUCCCAGCCCUGAGAGGCUGGGGAUGGGAGCCGGCAGCACUCCUUUGCACAGAGCACCGCAGGAAGCACUGGAAUCCGGAAAGAGAGAGGGUGCCGUGAGCAGACUUCCCGGCAGGCGUCAACCUCCUGUGUGGUCAGGAGUGCAGGCGCUGGGGCCGGAACCCUGGGCACUCGACCACAACCGCCUGGGCAACGUGGCCAAGUGGGCGCGUGUCCUGGGGCUCUUGCAACAAGCCAGGUGGCCUCAACAACAGAUACUGAUUCCCUUACAGCUCUGGGGACCAGAAGCCCCAAAUUAAGCUGUGGGCAGGGCUGCACUCCCUCCAGAGGCGCUAGAGGGGGAUCUUCCUUGUCUCUGGCAGCUUCUGGUGGCCCAGGCGUUCCUUGGCUUGUGGCUGCCUCCCUCCAGUCCCUGCCUGGCCCUCCCACGGCCUCGGCCCCUCUCCAUGUGGCUCUCCCUGGGUUUUCUCUUCUCUUCAUGAAGGCGCUUGUCCUUCACACCAGGCGCUGUGGUCCAGCCUGACAGCCCAGGACGAUCACGCUGCCAGGUCUUGACCUGAUUAUAUCUGCAAAGACCCUUUUUUCAAAUAAGGUCAUCUUUACAGGUUCUGGGACACAGACAGAUCUUUCUGUGGGGACACCAUUCAACAAAGAGGGGAAGCCACAGCCAGACCCCCCUCCGCUCAAAGGCUUGCUGUUUCCUAUGUUGCCCGCCACACUCCGUGUCUAUAGAGCUGGGACAGUGGCAGUGCCCACCUCAGAGGUCACCGUGCAGAUUAAAUUCAUCCCUAGACACGAAGUGCUGGGUGCAGGCACAGAGAACUGGAAGGAAAGGUUUCCUGUGACCGUGUGCUCCUUCUGCCCUCGGCUCGGGGUCUCUGCUGUGCUCGGCGUGGGUGGUGAUGAGGAUGUCACUGGGUGCACAGCUGGCCCCGCAAGCUGCCCGGACCCCAGGCCUCCCCUCUUUCCAGCCAGGAUGUUGUGUGCUCACAGCCUCUCAGGGCCACAGGUGCAGUGACUGCUGCUGCUGUGUGCUUAUUUGCUGCAGAGACUCCACUGGGGCCAGGCUGAGCAGGACUCCCCAGACAUAUCCAGAGGUCCUUCGAGAGGGCCGCAUGGCAGGCACAGGGUUGAGGGGCCUGGUGGCAUGGCCACGGCUCACCUGGGAGCGCAGGUGGGAAGCCCCCACACCUAGCAGAGUGCAGCUCCUUCCCGCACAGCCACCUGCGCUCCUUGGCCUGACCCCGUAGGGCUCUCAAUAAGAAACGGGGGCUUCCCCUCCUCCAGUCUCACCCUCAGUCUCCACGUUGUCUCCACCUAGCACCUCCUCCUCUGAUGCGUCACAGUCACAGGUCCUGGUGAGGAGGGAGCCACGCCAAGCACAGCGGCUGGAACAGGGGCAAGUGGGUGCCCACCCCGAAGUGCAGGCAAUGAACUUGUGCUGUAGCCCAUGGUGAGCUGUGGGGCUGUUUGUGACUGCAGCGUAGCCAAGCCCAUCCCGCCUGAUGCGGCCUCUUCAUCCAGAGUGGGGGUGACGUGCCAGCCCCCACCUCACCGGAAUGCUGGGAGGAGCGUCUCCACGGAAGGAGCUCACUUUGUCAGCUGUAAUGUGCUGUGACUAUCGUGUGAGUUCCCGGGUCACUGUAACAAGUCCCACAGCCUGGGGGCUUCAACAGAGAGAGCCUGAAUGGCUCUCUCACCAUUCAGGAGGUGGAAUCCAGGGUCAGGGUGCGGCUCCGCUGGCUCCUGAGGCCUCUCUCCUUGGCUCUGUCUCCUGCUACUGUCCUCACAAGGCCAUCCCUCUGUGUGGGUCUGUGUCCUCAUCUCCUCUCCGUAUAAGGACACCAGGCAGAUUGGGCCAGGGCCACCCCACCAGCCUCAUGUUACCUUAACCACCUCUGUGAGGACCCCAUCUCCAAGUAAGGUCCCUUGCGGAGGCAUUGGGGCUUAGGGCUGCAGCAUACAGAUCUGGGGGAGACACACGGCCCCUAACAGUAUCAAGGGUGGGUGGGCCCUCAUAGGAUAGGACAGCCGCCCAGUGGGGAGACACGUGGCCCCUAACAGUAUCGAGGGUGGGUGGACCCCCAUAGGAUAGGACAGCCGCCCAGGGGGGAGACACGUGGCUCAUAACAGUAUUGAGGGUGGGUAGAGCCCGAUAGGAUAGGACAGCCUCCGGGGGAGACACGCGGCCCAUGACAGUCUCGAGGGUGGGUGGACCCCCACAGGACAGCCGCCGGACAUUUCCUCCUCUGCUAGUCUGAAAAUCACACUGUCUUAGGCAGACAGGGAAGAAUCAACAUUUCCAUGCCAGGCAGAGGCCCCCGGAGCGCAAAGGACCAGAGGAUCAAAGAGCAAACGUCACCCUCAGGGUCUAACGUGCAGGUGGCAGGACCCCGGCCCUUCCUGUGUAUCUGAUUGUGGGUUUUGUCUCUGCCACGUGCAGGGAUGGGUGCAGACUCCGUCCAAGGUCUUGGCAGGAAGAGAAAACUGCCACUGCAGAGGGGCUGGCUGAGGGGCUGGGAUGGGGUCCCCGGGGCGCGGAGCUGCACACCAGCCCCUCGCACCUAGGCAGAAGGUCCAUUGCCCUCUGCCCCGCAGCCUGCCCGUUCCCAGGCCAGCGAGGGCGCUCCCAGGCCGGUCUGCAGCCAGAACACAGCCCGUUCCAUGUGCUUGUCCUCGGGACACAUUAGGAAUGAACCCAGGCCUCAGUCCUGGCCUCCUCCUCAAGGCUGGGUGCUCAGACGUCCCCCUCAGCCCCUUUCUCUAGACCUUCCGGCUGAACAAACGAGAACAUCUCACAGCCCUGCAACAGCCAGGAGCUGCUCGUGGAGCUCCACGCCCGGCUGGAGAGAGAGGAGGCACCCUGGGCAGCCCGCCAGCACCCAGGCUCUCACAGUGGAAGCCCACGUCUUCUUGGGCUCUAUUUUGAAAGCUGUUCUUUCCACGACGGCUUUGACAAGAAUCGAUUUGAGUGAGCCGGCGUGUCAAUACAGGCCAGCACAGGACUGGCCUCAGGGCCACAUUGGGGAGGGUGGCGACCAGGCCCUGGCUGCAGCCCACGUGGGCAAAAGCAUGGCCAGGCAGGAGGUGGGGCCUGUGAGCUUGGCUACAGCGACCGUGGGCGCUGGGCCCGGGGCUCCUCAGCCCUGAGGGGAGACCCAGGCCCAGGCAGGCUCCCAGGCGGGCUCCCGGGCUCCCAGCCUUCCGAUCUUCUCCCUUUGAGACCUUGCCUUCUGCACAGUGACAGGAAAGAGCCCUGAGUCCCACUUUGCAGGGAUGUAUUGCAUUUCCAGAAAGUUCCUUCCGGGUGCAGAGUGAUACAUGAACCCUGGGGACUCACUCCAACUUGGUAUUGAUUUUCUCCACGGAGGACCCAGCAGUCACGGCCCGUGUCUGCACAGCCCCUUGGAUCCUGCGGAGGAAUUCAGCCGGCCCCUCCCCCUGUGCCGAAAACCACGGAGGCAAAGCCAGGCCAGGGUACAGUGAGAACACGGGAGAGGACUGAGAGACCGCUGGCUGCCGAGGGAGGAAGAGCAGGAUUCGCACCCCCGUCAUCGCUGGGCCCACACGCCGCCGACAGCUUCCGCGUGUGGCCAUCUGUCUUUCAGAAACCCUCUGGCAGAGGGACCCAGCAGAUGACACGGGGGCCGUUCACACUCUGAAACCUGCCUGGAGUCAAAACACUGCUGGCGAGCCUCCACCGCAAACCCAAUCCAGAUGGUCUUCCCUGGUGGCCCUCGGGGUGGCGGGCACCCUGCCCACUCCCUGCCAGCCCCUGCCCGCUGGACUCCAGGCCCGGCCGAGCCCCCGACCGGUCUCCUGACCCAGCAUGCUGCUCUCCCCUGGGCCCGGCUUUCUCGCCCGCUGGGACUCCCAGGCCCCUCCAGCCCAGCCCCGAGAGCAGGAGCCCCAAGGGAGGCUUGGCGGCUGUGGAGGCGAGUGGGCCACGUGUAGCUGGGAGGCCGGCAGGACCAGGAGCCCCUCACAGCGCAGCACCCACAGCAUCACGAGCCACUUCCACUCCUGGGUGGCCUGGGGGCCCCCACCCUGCUCUGAGCUGCCCCUUGUUGUGACCUGGGGUCCCCCGUGGUGGGCCCGCCCCUUGAGCCUGGGAUCCAGCCUCAGCGAGGCUCCAGAAGUGUCGUCUCCGCCGGCCAGGCGUCAGCGCCUCCACCCAGGAUCACACACUCCUAUCUCUGCACUUCUGCCCUCCAUCCUGCUCCACGCCGCCUCUGCUUGUUAUUCCAGCACAUUCCAGGGUGAUGCCUGCUGAAGCCACGCAGCCAGUGCCUCCACCCUACCCCCCAUCUGACCCACCGGCCCCUUCCGCACGCUGGAAGCCUGCCCGGCCUGAAGUGUCCUCACCUGUCGCCCUAUCCUCCCCUCCACUCCAGCCCACCGGUGACUCAGCCCUCACAGCUCUCUCCUCCCCGAGGGAGCCGGUGACUUGGCUCUGAUGGUGCCGGGACCCAGCCCCGGCAUGUUCAGAAUCCUUGUCCUUUAACCUGCGUCCACAUGUAGUCGCCUCCACCUCCCUGCCUGAACCUCCAGGCCCUGCAGAGCAAACACUGCUGCCUGCAGGAGACCCCUGGGGCCUUCUCCGUCCCCUCAUCCUCCUAAGGAGCCUCCCCUGCCACCGUGCCAGAAUGUGCCGGAGGAACAGAGGCCCGAGCCUCCCGUGGCCCCAGCGAGGCUUCCUCUGGGGAAGACAGUGAGCCCAACGCCCUGGCUCUCGAGGGGUGGACGGAGUCCAGCUGGCAUCGACCGGGUGCCCCUCUUCACCGGUGUCCACAGUCCUUGAGAGCAAAGGGUUCCCAGAGGCGACCUCCCUCCUGCACAGGCAUUUGUCAUCCUUACCCUCUAGGACAGCUUUGCCAUGUGCAGUGAACCCCUGGACAGUGUUGCGUGCCACUUUGCCGGAUUUGGACUGUAUACAGACCGAAGCAUGUGGCAUGAAGCCUUCUGCUGUCAGCAAGUUCCUUGUCCCUCGACAGUAUGUGCCCAGGCUGCCCUUCAAGGUGGCAGUGAUGGCAGUUGUCUCUUGCACGCUGCGUACAGUUCUGUCACUGACUCUUACACACAGCCCUGGAGACGGGAGAGUGCCGGGAGCAUUCUAUGCAAGUGUCCUGGCCUUUGCGGGCGUCUCCACAGCACAAACACGAGUCAGGGACCACCCCUCUUCUGCUUCCAUGAUUCCACCAACUGGGUGGGGCAGAGCAGUGCCAGGGCCGGAGGCACGCCCCAGGUGAGGGCAGGUGGCCAUGCCAGUGAGUGCACUGCGUUCUCAGUUAAUUCAUCCGAAAUAUUUCUAAGUUUCUUGAUUAUUGCAGUUGCAUCCCCAAGAUAAUGCCGCCCUCACCAAGUAGAAGGCACAUGUGCUCUGAUGGCCCCUCCCACACUGGGGUCAGGGCACAGCAACUUAGCGAGGCGACGUGGGGGCUCAGAGGACCUCGGACCAGGCUCGGCACAUGGGGCUUCUCCAGCCAGCCAGGGGGAAGCACCCUGCAGACUGCUAACUUUUGCAAAAUAGAGUAAAAAAGAUCAGCUAGAAAAAUAAAACAAAAAAGGAAAGAUAUACAAAAUACAAGGCCAUUUAUAUUGUUGCAUUUAACAGUCAUCAACUCACUCCGUCUGAGGGGCGUUGGCAUCUGUGGACACACUCAGUGCCGAGGUUUGUCCCACUGCGGGCAGGCACAAGCGGCUUCCUGGGGGCUGGCCCUCGCCUGCUCUGCGUGGCUGUGCUGCAUGGGACACUGAGGCACCCGUCGGCUGCUCACUGCCUGGCUGCAU
rnacentral:lncRNA from 1 species